UACGUAGGGCGCGAGCGUUGUCCGGAAUUAUUGGGCGUAAAGAGCUUGUAGGCGGUUUGUCGCGUCUGCUGUGAAAGGUCGGGGCUUAACCCCGUGUAUUGCAGUGGGUACGGGCAGACUAGAGUGCAGUAGGGGAGACUGGAACUCCUGGUGUAGCGGUGGAAUGCGCAGAUAUCAGGAAGAACACCGAUGGCGAAGGCAGGUCUCUGGGCUGUAACUGACGCUGAGAAGCGAAAGCAUGGGGAGCGAACAGGAUUAGAAACCCUAGUAGUCC
rnacentral:rRNA from 1 species